rnacentral:rRNA from 1 species
UACGUAGGGUGCAAGCGUUAAUCGGAAUUACUGGGCGUAAAGCGUGCGCAGGCGGUUUUGUAAGUCUUUCGUGAAAUCCCCGGGCUUAACCUGGGAAUGGCGAUGGUGACUGCAAGGCUAGAGUUUGGCAGAGGGGGGUAGAAUUCCACGUGUAGCAGUGAAAUGCGUAGAGAUGUGGAGGAAUACCGAUGGCGAAGGCAGCCCCCUGGGUCAAGACUGACGCUCAUGCACGAAAGCGUGGGGAGCAAACAGG